UGCAGCGUUUGACGUAGGCAAAGUUUGCGCAUUGCACGUCUGCCAAAAUGAACACUCACUAAAGUGCAGAAGCCAGUUCACAACAGCCUUUCCAGCUUCUGAGGACAGUAUACUCUGGCGGCAGCUGGAACGUCAAGCGAGCGAAAGAAUUCCACUGGUUGAAAACGGCAUUAUGCAUUCAGUGACCAGCUUGGUUGUGGUCUUCUCCAUGGUGAUAAUCGUUGCUUCCGCAACCCACGAAACAGACUGCGUGUUUACUGACCUCGACUUGGAUGGUGCUCUGACAAGUGUUAUCACUCAGCUAGCGAAGCACGAAGAGUAUGAAAGGAUGACGACGAUCGGCUCAUACUCAGAUCUUUUAGACGUUGAGUGCUGCAGCAUGCGGGGCCUAGGGAAACUUCGCCAGUACGGACCACUGCUUCCUUACUGCGUCAAUGGCACACGCAAGCUUCAAGUCGACCUGGUCCAUGACGAUCCCAUUCAGUUGACAAUGAGGUGGAGGUGGUACACUGGAAUCAAAGGAACACUGGAACUUGCUGCACGAUUAUCGCGCUUCACCCUGCAAUUUGUUGUUUCCGAAGAGCCAUCCUGGAAAACCAUCGCCCUUUGGUUGGAAAAUCCCCUCGUGCCCGUGGCGACGGAAAUUACUUAUGCUGCUGUUGAAGGUGUUGGUGAAACCGCACGAGCUGUGACGGCAGUCUGGAGCAAACUUCUGCCCUCGGUGACGCAGCGUGUGUGGAACGUGUAUUUCAUUGCAACUAUGCGCAAGGCCCUCUGCGAGGUUGAACACGAUUUGUUUGGCUCACAUGAAUACGACACUCAAAAAGAAGGCAACUCAACUGUGUACAGUAUAAAUAUCGGAUUAGAUGCGUGUGUGUUCUGAUCACUGCGCUAUACACCAGAGGACGCACGCAGUGCUUGCUGCACAUGGCUGCUCCAAUCUGCAGUACCUUCGCGACAAUCGAACAGGCAGCGUGAACAGUAGGUGAAUUUCGGGCUGUACACUGGCUUCGAAGCAAGAAUUAUGUUUGUGGUUCCUGUUGUUGAAUGCUAUGACGCGUGAUAGAUAAGAAGCCAGUCGUACGAAAAUAGAACUAUAUAUUUAGCUGCUAAUAGUUAUCUUAUUGCAGAAGCAGUGUUAUCUUUUAAGUAGUUAUGCAUCAAACUAUCCGAAAGCCGUCAACAUGAAAUCCUGAGAAAUAAAGCCAUAUCUAUGCCAAAGCAAAAAUGUGUGCUAAUGGUGUAAAUUAGAAUUACCUGUCACCAUAUGAAUUUUGUAAAUCGAUAGAGUGCUUAGUAGGACCCAUGCACCAUACAUGCUGAACAUGGUGUAUCAUUUCUUCGACACAAACUGUAUAAAAUGUUAAUUUUCUUGCUUCUCUAAGCAUAAACGUAAUACUUUCUUACAUGUAA